rnacentral:rRNA from 1 species
AUUGAACGCUGGCGGCAGGCCUAACACAUGCAAGUCGAGCGGAUGAAGGGAGCUUGCUCCUGGAUUCAGCGGCGGACGGGUGAGUAAUGCCUAGGAAUCUGCCUGGUAGUGGGGGAUAACGUCCGGAAACGGGCGCUAAUACCGCAUACGUCCUGAGGGAGAAAGUGGGGGAUCUUCGGACCUCACGCUAUCAGAUGAGCCUAGGUCGGAUUAGCUAGUUGGUGGGGUAAAGGCCUACCAAGGCGACGAUCCGUAACUGGUCUGAGAGGAUGAUCAGUCACACUGGAAAUGAGACACGGUCCAGACUCCGACGGGAGGCAGCAGUGGGGAAUAUUGGACAAUGGGCGAAAGCCUGAUCCAGCCAUGCCGCGUGUGUGAAGAAGGUCUUCGGAUUGUAAAGCACUUUAAGUUGGAGGAAGGGCAGUAAGUUAAUACCUUGCUGUUUUGACGUUACCAACAGAAUAAGCACCGGCUAACUUCGUG